UACGGGGGGGGCAAGCGUUGUUCGGAAUUACUGGGCGUAAAGGGCUCGUAGGUGGCCAACUAAGUCAGACGUGAAAUCCCUCGGCUUAACCGGGGAACUGCGUCUGAUACUGGAUGGCUUGAGUUCGGGAGAGGGAUGCGGAAUUCCAGGUGUAGCGGUGAAAUGCGUAGAUAUUGGGAGGAACACCAGUGGCGAAGGCGGUCCCCUGGGCCGGAACUGACGCUGAGGCGCGAAAGCGUGGGUAGCAAACGGG
rnacentral:rRNA from 1 species